AUGCGAGGAUGUGCGCAUGGUAGCACCACGAGCAGGCGUGCUCGCGCGGGGCUCUGCUCGUGGGGUUUUUCCUCAGUAAAGGUGACAUGUUCUCCAAACCCUGACCUGACCGCUCGGUAAAGUCAUCCCUCCGGACACUCAGAGUAGACACUGAAAUGGCAUUUUUUUUUUAUUCUUUUCCUUUUUCAAAUAGAUUUUAUUCUCUGAAAGCUACACACUUUUCUUCUAACGCCCCCAGACAAACUCGCCGAGGUAUUUUCAAGAAGAAUUCACUGUCGCCCGACGGAGAGAAAAGACGAGAGACUUUUCUCUCCGGCCACAGCAGACAAGGGGGGGCAUCUCCGAACUCUGCAGGAGCUGCGCGGCUCCAGUAUUUUGCUUAAAUACUCCAAUUCCGGACGCCACUGAGGAGAUCCUGCUGAAGGAAAGGAUUCCUGUCUUUUCUGCCAUUUUUUUUUCUAGAGGUCAAAAAACUCCUUGUUCUGUCGUAGUGGCGUUUGAUUUACAUGAGUCUUUAUAUACAAUGCAUGGAUAGGCCCCUGAAACACUUUGCAAUCAACCACAUCACAAGAUUUAUAGAGGCCAGUAUGCUUAAAAUAUUAGGAAUUUAUAUUGAUUCAACUGUUUAAGUCAUUGAUUAAAUGCUGUGGCAUGAUGUUUCGACCAUA